rfam:Strongylocentrotus purpuratus complete mitochondrial genome
CCUUAAUUAGCUUAUUUUAAAGCUUUAGACUCUUAAUUUAAAAGAAAUUAGCUAAUACCUAUUAUUAAGGA